UUUCCAUUAUAUCAUUUUUUAGCCAGUUUCUUAUUUGAGUUUUUUAUUUGGACUUACUGCUUUUUCCUUACAAUAUCUCAACUCUACGCCCAUAUACCAUGGCUGAUAAGUACUUAAACAUCCUUGAGUUGACCUUAUUCUUGGCUGAUUUUGUGGAAUUACCUUCAUAACAUCUCAACUGCCAAUUGUUACAAAUGCACACAUAUCUCUCUACAACAGUAGGAACUGAACCCAGGUACACCUGUUGUGCUCUCAUAUUAUUCUUGUUUCAGGCCUCCUUAACUACAAUGCUGGGAUGGCACUGCACAUCUGAAGUUUGAAGAUACAGAGGAUGGAAGGAAUCCCAUAAUACAUAUUUAUUGGCAUCUGUACAAGUGAAAGGGUUGAAUUUGUCACAUAUGUAACCCAUCUGAAGCAAGCCAGUUGCACAACAUACUAUUGUUGCUUUGUCAAAUCCUGUCACAAGGAAUACUAACAUAUUAAUUUCAGCACAGAAAAGCCGGAUGUGAGUAAUAAUUUUGAAUUUGUAUGGAACACAAAUGAAUAAUGACAAUUAAGGAUUAAUUCCUUCCUAAUAUAAGCCAAGGUAUUUGAAUUAUGUAUCCUGAAAA